AAUCGGGCAACCGAGUUGUAAUUUGGAGACGGGACACUAGAGAGGAGGAAGGCGAUUAAGUGCCUUGGAACAGGCUGCCGUAGAGGGUGAGAGCCCCGUGAAUCGCUGGAGACCGAUCAAUUAGUGCCCGCCGAAGAGUCGAGUUGUUUGGGAAUGCAGCUCUAAGUGGGUGGUAUAUUCCAUCUAAGGCUAAAUAUUAGCGAGAGACCGAUAGCAAACAAGUACAGUGAUGGAAAGAUGAAAAGAACUUUGGAAAGAGAGUGAAAUAGUACGUGAAAUUGUUGAAAGGGAAGGGUAUUUGAUCCGACAUGGUGUUUAGCAGCGGCCCGUUCCUCGUGGAUGGGUGCACCUGGUUUACACUGGGCCAGCAUCGGUUCUGGGAGCCAUAUACGGGGUUCGUGAAUGUGGCCCUUCGAUUCUGUCGGAGGGUGUUAUAGCGCGGACAUCUUGUGGCUAGCCGGGACCGGGGACUGCGGUGAC
rnacentral:rRNA from 1 species